UACAGAGACUGCAAGCGUUGUUCGGAUUCACUGGGUUUAAAGGGUGCGUAGGUGGGUUGGUAAGUCAGUGGUGAAAUCUCCGAGCUUAACUUGGAAACUGCCAUUGAUACUAUCAGUCUUGAAUAUUGUGGAGGUCAGCGGAAUAUGUCAUGUAGCGGUGAAAUGCUUAGAUAUGACAUAGAACACCAAUUGCGAAGGCAGCUGGCUACACAUAUAUUGACACUGAGGCACGAAAGCGUGGGGAUCAAACAGG
rnacentral:rRNA from 1 species